AAUCAACGCUGGCGGCGUGCCUAACACAUGCAAGUCGAACGAGAAAGUGGAGCAAUCCAUGAGUAGAGUGGCGACCGGGUGAGUAACACGUGACUAACCUGCCCUAGAGUGGGGGAUAACCUCGGGAAACCGGGGCUAAUACCGCAUAACAUCGCGAAGGGAAGAUCCUUGCGAUCAAAGGAGCAAUUCGCUCAAGGAGGGGGUCGCGGCUGAUUAGCUAGUUGGUGAGGUAACGGCUCACCAAGGCGAAGAUCAGUAGCCGGCCUGAGAGGGCGCACGGCCACACUGGAACUGAAACACGGUCCAGACUCCUACGGGAGGCAGCAGUGGGGAAUUUUGCGCAAUGGGGGAAACCCUGACGCAGCAACGCCGCGUGGAGGAUGAAGUCCCUUGGGAUGUAAACUCCUUUCGAUCGGGACGAUAAUGACGGUACCGGAAGAAGAAGCACCGGCUAACUCUGUGCCAGCAGCCGCGGUAACAC
rnacentral:rRNA from 1 species